AUACACCUGGGGGAGACGCAGACCGCCUGACCCGAAGCCUCAGCACCUGGAGCCUUAGACGGCUGAUGGGAGCAUGAGCCCAGAGAGCGGAGGGCCCAGGCCAGGGGCGAGUGGGAUGGGUGGGGCUUUUUAAACCUCGACAGACCCUGGAUCCAACCAAAGAGGAGGGCUGUGGACAGAGUACUCCCCCACCCAGCAGACCUUUGCUGCUGCCUAACUCAGGUUGAGGGUGGCUGCGGGGCUUUCUAGAGCUGUGAUGCCUGAAGUGAACUUUAGGAAACAAAGUGACUGGGGCAAAGAAAGAAGGCUAAGGACUAUAGCGCAGUCAUAAAGGAAACCAUGCCAUUUUCAACAACAUGGGUGGCAAAGAGCAUUAUGUUAAGUGAGCAGGCGCCUGCACUGUGAGAGCCCCAACCAAGUGGACCUCCUCUGCAGACGCCACUGCAGGCCAUGCCCCACCCCAGCCACCACCCCACCCGGCCACGGCACGGAGAGGCGCACAUACCACGCGAUGACCAGCUGGAUGAAGUGCAGCAGCUUCUUCUCGCCCUUACAGAUUCACGUCGAGCAGAGCCUCAGCAUGUGGCAAUCACCUUUGCAGAUGCAAUUGGUAACGGAGAGGCCACACUGCAGAAGGGUGGGCCCCGUAUCCAAUGACCGUGUCCCUGUGGCACGGCAGAGACCCACACACGGAGGAGCGAUGGAGGCAGAGGUGCGGUGAGGCAGCUACAAGCCGAGGACCGCCAGCUGCCGCCAGAAGUCUAGAGGAAGGAUAAGAUGGCACCUCCCUCAGGGCCUCCCAGAACUAACCCUGCCGACACCUUGAUUUUGGAUUUCCAGCCUCCAGAACUCUGAGAGAAUAAAUUUGUUGCUUUAAGCCA